rnacentral:rRNA from 1 species
UACGGGAGGCAGCAGUGGGGAAUAUUGCACAAUGGGCGCAAGCCUGAUGCAGCCAUGCCGCGUGUAUGAAGAAGGCCUUCGGGGUUGUAAAGUACUUUCGGUCGUGAGGAAGGUGUUAAGGUUAAUAACCUUAGCAAUUGACGUUAGCGACAGAAGAAGCACCGGCUAACUCCGUGCCAGCAGCCGCGGUAAUACGGAGGGUGCGAGCGUUAAUCGGAAUUACUGGGCGUAAAGGGCACGCAGGCGGUUAAUUAAGUUGGAUGUGAAAUCCCCGGGCUUAACCUGGGAAUGGCAUUCAAGACUGGUUAGCUAGAGUCUUGUAGAGGGGGUAGAAUUCCAUGUGUAGCGGUGAAAUGCGUAGAGAUGUGGAGGAAUACCGGUGGCGAAGGCGGCCCCCUGGACAAAGGACUGACGCUCAUGUGCGAAAGCGUGGGGAGCAAAC